rnacentral:rRNA from 2 species
UUUAUUGGAGAGUUUGAUCCUGGCUCAGGAUGAACGCUGGCGGCGUGCCUAAUACAUGCAAGUCGAGCGAAUGGAUUAAGAGCUUGCUCU